UACGGAGGGUGCGAGCGUUGUCCGGAAUCACUGGGCGUAAAGGGCGCGUAGGCGGGCCGACAAGUCCGGGGUGAAAGCCCCCAGCUCAACUGGGGAAGCGCCUUGGAUACUUUUGGCCUGGAGGGAGGUAGGGGCGUGCGGAACUUCCGGUGGAGCGGUGAAAUGCGUAGAUACCAUCCAGAACACCGAUUGCGGAGGCAGCCGGCUAACGCGCAACUGACACUGAGGCACGAAAGCGUGGGGAGCAAACAGG
rnacentral:rRNA from 1 species